GACGAACGCUGGCGGCGUGCUUAACACAUGCAAGUCGAACGAUGACGACCGAGCUUGCUCGGUCUGAUUAGUGGCGAACGGGUGAGUAACACGUGAGCAACCUGCCCUUCACUCUGGGAUAACCUCGGGAAAUCGGGGCUAAUACCGGAUAUGAGCUCCUGUCGCAUGGCGGGUGUUGGAAAGUUUUCGGUGAAGGAUGGGCUCGCGGCCUAUCAGUUUGUUGGUGAGGUAGUGGCUCACCAAGGCGAUGACGGGUAGCCGGCCUGAGAGGGCGACCGGCCACACUGGGACUGAGACACGGCCCAGACUCCUACGGGAGGCAGCAGUGGGGAAUAUUGCACAGUGGGCGAAAGCCUGAUGCAGCGACGCCGCGUGAGGGAUGACGGCCUUCGGGUUGUAAACCUCUUUCAGCAGGGAAGAAGCGAAAGUGACGGUACCUGCAGAAGAAGCGCCGGCUAACUACGUG
rnacentral:rRNA from 1 species